GCUGUGUUUUUCUUUCGCUUGUAGCCAGAAGAAGACAUACUGAGUCAACACGAGUCAUCCUGUUUUUGGCUGGAUGAUUUACAACAUCUGAGAAGUAAAACCUACAAACUAGUUAACUAAUCACUCUGAAGAAAUCCAACAAUGGCGGGGUGUACACUUUUCCAGCUGGUCCUCAGAAACGCUCCCUGUGUGAUGUCAUGGAAAUGCUGGUGAAGACAUCCUUAGCUGCAGGCAGAGUGGGAACCUCUGGUGCGGACUCACAGAGACGGUAUCAUCUGCAGCCUGGACUUGGACCCAGCCUCUCUCUCCUCCUCUGCCAUUGGCUACUGGUUGCUGAAAAGUGCUCUUGUUUUCCAAAGUCUGAGCAGUAUAGUUCCUAUUGCCUGUAUGUCAGGAAACUAGUGAGAAGUGUGGACCAUAAAGGAGCUUUUAUGUAAGCAGCAGUAACGCUGCACGCAGAAGUGCUAGCGCCCUCGUUUUCCACCUCAGGUCUUGUCAGGGGGCAGAUCUGUCAUAAAAGCGAGGCAAGAGCAGGUUGUACCACAGGCGCUGCUGUCAUGAAACCAGAGAUUCACAGCGGUGUCAUGUACAAGAAGGCCACUCUCACAUUUAGAAACUUUCCCCCUACAUGAGGGGACAGGGAUGAUUCUUAGAUGCAUAUCGACAAGCCUUCUACCUUCCCUCCUCCCAUUCUUCCUGGCUGCUUUAUCACAUUGUCUACGACAAUUUGGCUUUUACCCACUAGAAUUUUGAAUAGUUACUGACUUGUGUUCAAAAUCAAAGUUGUUGUUUGAUAUAUUAUUGAUAGUCAUACUGCUUUCCCUAAAUACAAAGUACCUAUUUAAUAAGUUAUGUAAAUACUUACACACAGAUAUGUUGGUGUAUCCAUAUGUACACAUGCACUGAUAUAUCCAUAUAUACACACACAUACAUAUGUAUUACAUACUUGUACAUAUAUAGUGCAUAUGUCACAGCACUUUUAUUUGUGAACCCAUGUAACAACUAAACUCUAGUUAUUCCUUCAUGGACAUAGGACUGAAUCUUAACUGAUCAUAUUAAUUACUAAAGAUUACUCAGGGAAUUAGAGAUAUAUAUAAAAGAAUAUAUAUCUAAAAUUUCAAACAAUAAGCCUAUUUCAAUUAACUUGAUUCAUAUAUUUUUCUAAUUGCCAUAAUAGCUAGAAUUAAUAAAAUUCAUCAAAAAGAAAAAAUUAUUAAUUCUCUCUAAACCAUUCUAUAAUCUCAAGUAGCUAGAGGCUGCA
ensembl:lincRNA